UACGGGGGGGGCAAGCGUUGUUCGGAAUUACUGGGCGUAAAGGGCGCGUAGGCGGCCUUCUAAGUCAGACGUGAAAUCCCUCGGCUCAACCGAGGAACUGCGUCUGAUACUGGAAGGCUUGAAUCCGGGAGAGGGAUGUGGAAUUCCAGGUGUAGCGGUGAAAUGCGUAGAUAUCUGGAGGAACACCGGUGGCGAAGGCGGCGUUCUGGACUGCAACUGACACUGAGAGACGAAAGCCAGGGGAGCAAACGGG
rnacentral:rRNA from 1 species